CUAUUACAUUGACGACGAUGAUGAUGAUGAUGAUGACAGCCACCAGCAUCAGCUACUACCGACGCAACCACACCAACAACCACAAACGCAGGCACUGGCCAGAGCCAUUCCCACAGUAUCAGCAGGAGCAACAGCAACUCCCACGCCAGUAUCUGUAGCAGCCCCAGCCGCUGCAUCGGCCACGACAAUUUCUUUGUAAAAAGCUAUAACACAUACCAUUUAAGGAUUAGUUAUCAUAGUUAUUCUCCCCCAUUAAUUUUCUUGGCAUUGAUGCCCAACCCAAGUGGAAGCCCAACAUAUUUUACACAAAGCGGUUUCGAUCACACUACACUUCAGAGUUAUGUUGAACAUUAUUCAUUCAACGAACUGACGCUAACGUUCCGUUCCGAUACCCAAUUGUAAAAUGAACACAAUGCAUAUAGAAAUCAACAGAUUACUUGCGACAUCAUCAUCCGAUUUCAGCCACUUUUUAGCGACAGAGAACGAUUUCGCUAGCAUGUCCAAAUAAUAAUAUGUUGUACAUCUAUCUUUUUUACUUCCCCACAGCUGGUUUGAGGAGUGCGUAGAGGUGGAGAAGGAGUCAGCGCCGCGGACGGACAACCAGAUGCAGGACAGCUGCAGCAAGAACUAUGAAUCAAUUGAGAAGAUUCCUUUAUAAUUUUCCAUCUUCUAGUUUUCAACAUUUGUUUUCUUCUCCUUCUAGUUGUACAACGCUGAAAAUUUGAAACAAUUAUGUUCGUUUUUCUAAGAAAAAGAUAUCUGAAAAAAGGUAAUAACAAGCAAACAAAGAAUUGCAAAAUGAAAUGAAGAUAUUGAUUUAAUUUUACCAAAUAAACCAGAAAAAAAAUAUACAGCGAAAGCUAACAAAAAAACCAAA